UGGAAUUAAAGUUAUGUGUUCCUAUGCCUGC
rnacentral:piRNA from 1 species